rnacentral:tRNA from 1 species
AUUUAAAUAGUUUAUAUAAAAUAUUGAUUUGUGGGGUCAAGGAUACAUUUAUUAUGUUUUAAAUA